UAGGACUGAGGCCCAGUUUCUGCCUCAUAAUAUUACUAUUGUUUUCCUGCUCCUGCUUACACAGUGCUUCUGUAAUCAUGCAGCUUCAAAGCCCCGCAGAUCAAGGGUCUUCACUGGCAACAUGAGGCAAGAAAAAAAAUGGAAGGAACACGCGGAUAGGACUGUGGACCCAGGUGACAAACGUGAGACAGAAGGUGUGCAAUGCAGAAACUACAGACAAGGGGAUUUCCCUUGGGGUCUUCACCAUUCUAUUUAUCAAGAGCCAAGGAGAGCAAACGGAUGUGGUGGGUAAAUGCCACUCCCAGCCCCCCAACUAUGACCAAAGUAGCCCAUCACAAGGAAAAGAAAAAUGAAUCGAGAAGACAAUGAUUGUGAUUUCUCUAAGGAUGUCUUCAUUCCUGUUUUAGUGAUCCUUUUAGGUUAAAACAGCACAGCUGGGUAGGAAAAAGUACAGGAACUGAAUAUCACUUAGUAGUAAGAAAAAAAUACAGUAUCAAUACCACCAGAGAGAAAAACAGA
rnacentral:lncRNA from 1 species